UCUACAGUUUUACAGGUUGUCUAUGAAAGU
rnacentral:piRNA from 1 species